GUUGUUGUUUGCAUUGCUAUCUUCGAUUCUGUGAUUAUUUACUCUUGGUGUCACCUCAUUAGACUACCAGGAAAUAUACAGAAAACAUCUAAGGGAAAAACACAUAAAAAUAGGAGUUGAUAAAUGUUAUCACCAUGGCAAGCAUAUAGAGUCACGGCUGCUUCUUGUAAAAGAGAACUGUGUAUCAGAAAAGACACCAUGUGGAAUUCCUCAACAAUAUCAUUUUGUUAAGAUGGAACAUGUAUUUAAUCCUAAUGAAGAAGAUUUCAGCUCAUCCAGAACUCUGGUGCUUCAGGGAUGUGCUGGGACUGGGAAAACAGCUGUGGUGCACAAAUUCAUGUUUGACUGGGCAGCAGGAAUGGUUACUCCAGGCAGAUUUGACUAUCUCAUUUAUGUCAGUUGCAGAGAAAUCAGCCACACUAAUAAUCUUAGUGCUGUUGACCUGAUCACUAACAUAUUUCAAGACAUAAAGGGACCAAUCCUGGACAUUAUACUUCUAUAUCCAGAGAAACUUCUAUUUAUUCUUGAUGGAUUUUCUGAGCUGCAAUACCAUGGGGGUGACCAAGAAGACGAUCUUACUAGUAAUCCCCAGGAGAGGAAGCCAGUAGAGAUACUCUUGUGUAGUUUGGUGAAGAAAAAACUUUCCUGAAUCCUCUCUCCUAAUAAGUGCCCAGCUCAAAGCCAUGAAGCUCCACUCUCUGUUAAAGCAACCUAUCCAGGCAGAAGUCCUAGUUUACAGAUGCUGAAAAAAGAGCAUAUUUCUUGAGUCAGUUUUCAGGUGCUAAUGCAGCUAUGAAAAUCUUCUAUGGUUUGCAAGACAGUGAAGGUCUUGACAUUAUAUCUUCUCUUCCAAUUGAUUCCUGGAUGUUACGCAGGGUCCUGCAGUAACAAGGAGAUGUUGAUAGAACUCUUCUGCAGUCCCUUAAGACCAUGACUUACAUGUAUCUGUUCUACUUUUCCAAGUGCCUCAAAACCCUUAUAGGCAUAUCAAUGUGGAAGGGACAAAGUUGCCUGUGGGGCCUUUGCUCUUUGGCUGUGGAGGGUCUACAGAAGCAUCGGGUUAUGUUUGCAGUUAG
rnacentral:lncRNA from 1 species